UCCUACGGGGGGCAGCAGUGGGGAAUAUUGGGCAAUGGGCGCAAGCCUGACCCAGCAACGCCGCGUGAAGGAAGAAGGCUUUCGGGUUGUAAACUUCUUUUCUGAGGGACGAAGACAGUGACGGUACCCUGUGAGAAAGUCACGGCUAACUACGUGCCAGCAGCCGCGGUAAUACGUAGGUGACAAGCGUUGUCCGGAUUUACUGGGUGUAAAGGGCGCGUAGGCGGGAUAGCAAGUCAGUCGUGAAAUGCCGAGGCUUAACCUCGGAGCUGCGAUUGAA
rnacentral:rRNA from 1 species